rnacentral:rRNA from 1 species
CAGCCGCGGUAAUACGAAGGGUGCAAGCGUUACUCGGAAUUACUGGGCGUAAAGCGUGCGUAGGUGGUUUUUUAAGUCCGUUGUGAAAGCCCUGGGCUCAACCUGGGAAUGGCAGUGGAUACUGGAAAGCUAGAGUGCGGUAGAGGGUAGUGGAAUUCCCGGUGUAGCAGUGAAAUGCGUAGAGAUCGGGAGGAACACCAGUGGCGAAGGCGGCUACCUGGACCAGCACUGACACUGAGGCACGAAAGCGUGGGGAGCAAACAGGAUUAGAUACCCUGGUAGUCCACGCCCUAAACGAUGCGAACUGGACGUUGGGAGCAACUUGGCUCUCAGUGUCGAAGCUAACGCGUUAA